AUUGAACGCUGGCGGCAGGCCUAACACAUGCAAGUCGAACGAGUGGCGGAAGGGUGAGUAAUGUCUGGGAAACUGCCUGAUGGAGGGGGAUAACUACUGGAAACGGUAGCUAAUACCGCAUACCAUCGGAUGUGCCCAGAUGGGAUUAGCUAGUAGGUGGGGUAAAGGCUAAUCUAGGCGACGAUCCCUAGCUGGUCUGAGAGGAUGACCAGCCACACUGGAACUGAGACACGGUCCAGACUCCUACGGGAGGCAGCAGUGGGGAAUAUUGCGCAAUGGGCGAAAGCCUGAUGCAGCCAUGCCGCGGGUAUGAAGAAGGCCUUCGGGUCGUAAAGUACUUUCAGCGGGGAGGCGUUACCCACAGAAGAAGCACCGGCUAACUCCGUGCCAGCAGCCGCGGUAAUUC
rnacentral:rRNA from 1 species